rnacentral:snRNA from 1 species
UUGCUUCAGCAGCACGUUACUAAAAUUGGAACGAUACAGAGAAGAUUAGCAUGGCCCCUGUGCAAGCAUGACACCCAAAUUUGUGAAGCGUUCCAUAUUAAA